CAGACAUCUACACAUUUGGAGCGGUGGGUAUGGAGAGUGACCCCAGCCAGUCUGUCCGAUUUGGGUUGAUUUAAAUGAGACUGUUGUGUGUGGAAUUCCAGGAGAUCAGCAGUUUCUGAAAUACUCAAACCAGCCCGUCUGGCACCAACAACCACGCCAUGGUUAAAGCCACAGAGACUCCAUUAUGAAAAAGACCCAGAAGAGGAUGUACCGUACUUCCUUCACCAACUGAGGAAGUUCAACCUGCAACAGGAGCUGGUGACCCAGUUCUACUCAGCUAUUGAGUCUGUUCUGUGCACUUCAAUAACUGUCUGGUUUGCCUCAGCUACUUAACAGCAGCGGAC
ensembl:lncRNA